rnacentral:rRNA from 1 species
UCGAGAAUUUUUCACAAUGGGCGCAAGCCUGAUGGAGCGACGCCGCGUGGGGGAUGAAUGGCUUCGGCCCGUAAACCCCUGUCAUUCGCGAUCAAAUGUUGUUAUUUAAAAGAUGCCAGCCUGAUAGUAGCGGAAGAGGAAGGGACGGCUAACUCUGUGCCAGCAGCCGCGGUAAUACAGAGGUCCCGAGCGUUGUUCGGAUUCACUGGGCGUAAAGGGUGCGUAGGUGGUGAGGUAAGUCGGAUGUGAAAGCUCGGAGCUCAACUCCGAAAUGGCAUUGGAAACUACCUUGCUUGAGGAUUGGAAGGGGGACUGGAAUGCUUGGUGUAGCAGUGAAAUGCGUAGAUAUCAAGCGGAACACCAGUGGCGAAGGCGAGUCCCUGGACAACACCUGACACUGAGGCACGAAAGCUAGGGGAGCAAACA